rnacentral:rRNA from 1 species
AUUGAACGCUGGCGGCAGGCCUAACACAUGCAAGUCGAACGGCAGCACAGAAGAGCUUGCUCUUUGGGUGGCGAGUGGCGGACGGGUGAGUAAUGUCUGGGAAACUGCCCGAUGGAGGGGGAUAACUACUGGAAACGGUAGCUAAUACCGUAUAACGUCGCAAGACCAAAGUGGGGGACCUUCGGGCCUCACACCAUCGGAUGUGCCCAGAUGGGAUUAGCUAGUAGGUGGGGUAAUGGCUCACCUAGGCGACGAUCCCUAGCUGGUCUGAGAGGAUGACCAGCCACACUGGAACUGAGACACGGUCCAGACUCCUACGGGAGGCAGCAGUGGGGAAUAUUGCACAAUGGGCGCAAGCCUGAUGCAGCCAUGCCGCGUGUAUGAAGAAGGCCUUCGGGUUGUAAAGUACUUUCAGCGGGGAGGAAGGCGGUGAGGUUAAUAACCUCGCCGAUUGACGUUACCCGCAGAAGAAGCACCGGCUAACUCCGUGCCAGCAGCCGCAGUAAAAC